AGAGUUUGAUCCUGGCUCAGGAUGAACGCUGACAGAAUGCUUAACACAUGCAAGUCAACUUGAAUUUGGGUUUUUUAACUUAGAUUUGGGUGGCGGACGGGUGAGUAACGCGUAAAGAACUUGCCUCACAGCUAGGGACAACAUUUGGAAACGAAUGCUAAUACCUGAUAUUAUGAUUUUAAGGCAUCUUAGAAUUAUGAAAGCUAUAUGCACUGUGAGAGAGCUUUGCGUCCCAUUAGCUAGUUGGAGAGGUAACGGCUCACCAAGGCGAUGAUGGGUAGCCGGCCUGAGAGGGUGAACGGCCACAAGGGGACUGAGACACGGCCCUUACUCCUACGGGAGGCAGCAGUGGGGAAUAUUGGACAAUGGACCAAGAGUCUGAUCCAGCAAUUCUGUGUGCACGAUGACGUUUUUCGGAAUGUAAAGUGCUUUCAGUUGGGAAGAAAAAAAUGACGGUACCAACAGAAGAAAG
rnacentral:rRNA from 1 species